UACGGGGGGGGCAAGCGUUGUUCGGAAUCACUGGGCGUAAAGCGCACGUAGGCGGGUCUUUAAGUCAGGGGUGAAAUCCUGGAGCUCAACUCCAGAACUGCCUUUGAUACUGAGGAUCUCGAGUCCGGGAGAGGUGAGUGGAACUCCGAGUGUAGAGGUGAAAUUCGUAGAUAUUCGGAAGAACACCAGUGGCGAAGGCGGCUCACUGGCCCGGUACUGACGCUGAGGAGCGAAAGCGUGGGGAGCGAACAGG
rnacentral:rRNA from 1 species